AAAAAGGUUUUUUUGUUUGAGGAAGGAAAUAAUUUUAUUUUCAGUAUCUUUCAGGAGGUGGUUAGGGAGAUCGUUAUAUGUGUAAUGUAAAUUGGUCAGGCUGUGCUUCCCAAGGACUCUACUUCUCAGCUGUACCAUAUGCUUCCAAAAAAGUUUCUACUCUUCACCUGAUGGAUGGACAGGAGAGAAGCAAAGUCCUUUACCUCCACUUUGGUCAUCUGUGAUUACAAUACACCUGCUAAAAUAAACUAGUGAACUUAGAGCAUCAGGCUAUAGAUAAAGCCUUCGAAAGCCAUACUAGUGGUACCUGUAUCCAUAAAGGAGAGAUGUAUGUUGCAUGCAUAGAUUAAAGGGACGCUGGCUGAAAGUGAGUACAACCUUGAGAGCAGCAGCAGGAGCACCUGCUCACUGUGCAGUUGGACUUUGAUUUUUACUGAUCCUCUCUCUGUCAUUAUCCAACCUUACAGGCAAAGGUUUUUAAGAUUUUCUGGAGAUUUCCUUGCAGAGUGAUGUUGAAUUAGCCUACUUUACACCUUGUAUUGCAGAGGAAGUUGCCGUUUUUGCCUAGGGUAUCUUCACAGUCAGAGCUGUAAAAUGCCAGAAAGGAGAAAUGUCUUACAACAACUUCCGAGAAAGCAGACUGCGGUUCUCAGACUCCCUUAAUGGCCAGCGCUGGAUAUUCCUGAGAAAAGGCCUAGAUGACUUCCGAGAUGGCUUUCCCCCUUCAUCUGAUAACAUGAUUGUGUAUGGUAAAAAGCGUCCGUCUCAAUUAUCGUGAAAAACAGCACAGGGAACUCUUCAUACACAGCUCCAGGGAAGAAAAGCAAGAAGCGCACCAAAACACAGAUUUAUCUUUCCAAGCUCAGCCCUCUGCAGCAAGCCAGGAGGGAUUACGUUGCACAGAUAGAGCACUGCCUGAAACAGCAUCCCACAGUGCUCUGCCCACAUUUGGAAAAAAGUAGCUCCCCAAAGAUAAUGAUUUUUGUAACCCUGGUUAUACAGAUUCUUCAGAAAAUUGAAACGGGAAACUAAUCUAAUUGAUGACUAUUUUCAAUUAACAACAACAAAAUUAGAUAAAUCCACCACCUCUUUCUUUCCAUGGUAAAAACAAAGCGAGUGAUAUCAAAGGUAGCUUAGAUUUAGACAGUAGGUCCAGAUUGUCAGCAAGUAAUUCGCAGAACACUAUUAUAAACAGGCUGAGAAAUUGAGUGCCUGCCUUCACAGAUUACAGAAUACCUUAUCUGUUAGGCUAUCACCAGGCACUGACACAAAUGGAUGCUAUGGGGCAGGAAGCAAGUCUAAUCAAAAUUGAAAAAUUAUCUGUGCUCAAGAUAUUUGGGUAUAAUCUCAUUACCUUUAUUUUUCAGCCUGUUUACAGAAGCUUAUCUCUUCUCCCAGCCUCUGGUUCUUCAAAUUUCUCUCCUUCAUGCAAGCAAAAGGUAGCAGAUAGUUCUCUUGUCUGUCUCGGAGUUUUCAGAACUUGGUUAUUUGGAUAUUGUAAACAGAGGACUGUGACCAAACACAGUGGCAGAAUUGGUCUUUUCACUUCACAAAAGGAACAGGGGAGAGCUGGGAGACUGUGUUGGAAAGGGCAGACUUCAUACUACAGUACAAGGGGACACUGGGUAUCAAGCACCUUUGUCUGUAUUGCUGUUUAGGCUGCUCCAGGGGUUUAUACUACCCUAAGCUUGGAUGCGGUAAGAUGUUGAAGGAUGGAUUGAUUGAGAGAAACCUUAGAGUUCGGAAAAGGGAAUUGGGUCUCUGUUCUGUAAGAUUAUGCAACAGCAGAGCUCUCCCUGAUCCCUGGCUGCUAUUACCGGGGGAAUGGAACAUGAAACACGGGGUUGUCCUGAAGGGAAGAAACUUAAAAUCUGCUGAAAUAAAAUCUUAUAUGUAGUACAGCAGAUUGCCAUAGGAGAUGGCCGAGACCAGAAAUUCAGCAUGAUUCAGAGGUUUGGCAAGCAGCCUGAGUUGCAAUUAAUACUUUAGAGACUUUGA